rnacentral:rRNA from 1 species
UACGUAGGGGGGCAAGCGUUGUCCGGAAUCAUUGGGCGUAAAGCGCGUGUAGGCGGCUUGGUAAGUCCGCUCUGAAAAGCCCGGGGCUCAACCCCGGGAGGCGGGUGGAUACUGUCAAGCUCGAGUCCGGAAGAGGCGAGUGGAAUUCCUGGUGUAGCGGUGAAAUGCGCAGAUAAUCAGGAGGAACACCAAUGGCGAAGGCAGCUCGCUGGGACGUGACUGACGCUGAGACGCGAAAGCGUGGGGAGCAAACAGG